UACGGAGGGGGCUAGCGUUGUUCGGAAUUACUGGGCGUAAAGCGCGCGUAGGCGGACCUGCAAGUCGGGGGUGAAAUCCCGGGGCUCAACCUCGGAAUUGCCUUCGAUACUGUCUAUCUAGAGUCCGGGAGAGGUGAGUGGAAUUCCUAGUGUAGAGGUGAAAUUCGUAGAUAUUAGGAAGAACACCAGUGGCGAAGGCGGCUCACUGGCCCGGUACUGACGCUCAUGAGCGAAAGCGUGGGGAGCAAACAGGG
rnacentral:rRNA from 1 species